rnacentral:rRNA from 1 species
AGAGCGAACGCUGGCGGCAGGCCUAACACAUGCAAGUCGAGCGCCCGUAGCAAUACGGGAGCGGCAGACGGGAUAGUAACACGUGGGAACGCGCCCUUCGGUUCGGAAUAACUCAGGGAAACUUGAGCUAAUACCGGAUACGGCAUUCAAGAGAAAUCUUGGCGGCGAAAAGAUUUAUCGCCGAGGGAUCGGCCCGCGUCCGAUUAGCUAGUUGGUGUGGUAAUGGCGCACCAAGGCGACGAUCGGUAGCUGGUCUGAGAGGAUGAUCAGCCACAUUGGGACUGAGACACGGCCCAAACUCCUACGGGAGGCAGCAGUGGGGAAUAUUGGACAAUGGGCGCAAGCCUGAUCCAGCCAUGCCGCGUGAGUGAUGAAGGCCUUAGGGUUGUAAAGCUCUUUCGCCCACGACGAUAAUGACGGUAGUGGGAGAGAGCCCGGCUAACUCGUGCCAGCAGCCGC